GAUUUAUACAGAAGAGGUGAGAGACAGGCUCGAUGACCCUCUGGCAACCUGGAAAGACCAAGGUGCCAAUUCCUGCCGGGAGACCAACAUAGGAUCCUGGAAAUAUAAAGU
rnacentral:ncRNA from 1 species